AUUUACUCCUAUGUGGACUAAACAAAAGGGAAACGAUAGCGUUUAAUCAAUGGCUCGAUCUCUUCUUCUUCGUCGUCGUGAUACCAUGGAUCGACUGUUCUGUUUCUUCGGCGCCGUUUAUACCAUGGUCCGACUGUGUUGCUCAUCCUAGCCAUGGCUCUCUCUACCAAUCUGAGCAGAUCCGACGAUGAUGUUACCCCCAUCGCUGGUCGAUCGGUUGUGGUGGAUUUCUUCUUCUUCGAUCCACCAGAAUAUGUUCAUCAGAUCCGACGAUGAUGGGUUUCUUCUUCUUCUACUUUUCGUUCCCAGAAAUUGGAGGAGAUCCGAGGGAAAAAAAGAUGAGUGCUCCGGUGAAAGAGGAGAGCUAUUUUUGUGUGGAACUGAGUGUCAUUUUAACCGAGUUGUAUCGGCUAAGAUGACAUCAAAUUAGACCAGUGGCCGAGUUUCAAGUCCUACACCUUAGGAGACGCAACACAGAAUGUGUUCCUUAUGCCAGGGGAAGUUGUUUUCUCCAGUAAUUCAGUAUUGCAUAUGAACUUGCAAACCGAUUAUGUUACAUGUCUAAAGCAAGCUACGGCUGCGAGUCUCUCAGACUCUACAUUCUGUUUCGGAUCAGAACCUCUCUUUGAACCUGUAAGGAGUCUCAAUUGAUCUGAAGGCCAGAGACCUUUGUCUUUUCUGAAGUACUAUUGACAGCAUGAGGCCAUCGUGUUGAGAUCUGGAAGGCUGGCUAUUGUGGUGACUGUGAAGUUGAUCAGAAAUGGUUUCACCUAAGUGUUUCUGGGUCUGUAUAAUGCAUGUAAAGUGGAGACUGUGGCUUGUGUCGGAUCUCUGCAAAGUAUGCCGAAGAGGAAGAUCUGCUGGUGAGAUAAAGGAUGAAGAAAAACACAGUAGUCUAGAAGCGGGUCCCGAUCAGAAUUAACCAACACAGCUGAUGAACGUUAAUAGCAAAUUUAGAAGCAUAUAGAGAGAAGCAAAGGUGAGCUUGCAACUGAUGUCCACUUAAAUGAUAUCUUCUACUUGGUUGAGUUUUAUAUACAUAUGAUAUUUGUUUAUUGUUUGAAUUCAAGUUUGUAUCGCUUAUCAAAGGAACCGAUUAUCAUGCUUCAUACAGACUUUGUAUCUUAUUUCUAUGUCCCUGCUUUCACAGUAAACAUCCUCCUUACAAUGA